rnacentral:lncRNA from 1 species
AAUGAUAAAUAAUAGUUUAUUAGAGCCAUCUUAGUUAUUAAAAGACAUAUAUUUGUACCCCUUUGAGUAUUUCAUAAGGAGAUUUUUAAAGGUCACUCCUUUUAACGGCCCUUUCUUUUGUAAUUUCCUUUUAAAUGUCAUUGAUCAUAGUCCAUUUAAAAUCGAAAACUAUAUAUUACUGAGUGACAUUUUUUAUUUAUUAAGAGUGUCAUAACACUUAAUAGGAGCAAAACUAAAUUAAUAAAAAGUACUCAAUAUCUAAUUACUUGUCAUCUAUGAUCAAAUCUUUUAAAUAUUAUCAUCUUCCAACAAAAAUAAUGCGUGUUCUUCCUAAAUUUCUCCAAG